UAACCUGCCCAAGAGACUGGGAUAACACCUGGAAACAGAUGCUAAUACCGGAUAACAACACUAGACGCAUGUCUAGAGUUUAAAAGAUGGUUCUGCUAUCACUCUUGGAUGGACCUGCGGUGCAUUAGCUAGUUGGUAAGGUAACGGCUUACCAAGGCAAUGAUGCAUAGCCGAGUUGAGAGACUGAUCGGCCACAUUGGGACUGAGACACGGCCCAA
rnacentral:rRNA from 1 species